rnacentral:rRNA from 1 species
UACGUAGGGCGCAAGCGUUAUCCGGAAUUAUUGGGCGUAAAGAGCUCGUAGGCGGUUUGUCGCGUCUGCCGUGAAAGUCCGGGGGCUCAACUCCGGAUCUGCGGUGGGUACGGGGCAGACUAGAGUGAUGUAGGGGGAGACUGGAAUUCCUGGUGUAGCGGUGAAAUGCGCAGAUAUCAGGAGGAACACCGAUGGCGAAGGCAGGUCUCUGGGCAUUAACUGACGCUGAGGGGCGAAAGCAUGGGGAGCGAACAGG